rnacentral:rRNA from 1 species
UACAGAGGGUGCAAGCGUUGUCCGGAAUCACUGGGCGUAAAGGGCGCGUAGGCGGCCUGAUAAGUCGGGGGUGAAAUUCUGCGGCUUAACCGCAGGACGGCCUUCGAGACUGUCGGGCUUGAGCACGGUAGAGGCUGGUGGAAUUCCCGGUGUAGCGGUGGAAUGCGUAGAGAUCGGGAGGAACACCAGUGGCGAAAGCGGCACUCUGGGCCUAAACUGACGCUGAGGGGCGAAAGCGUGGGGAGCGAACGGG